rnacentral:lncRNA from 1 species
AUUAUUAUAUUAAAUUUAAAAUUGUCGUAGACAAUUUGAUAUAAUUGAUUAGGACAGUAUGAUGCACAUUUCAUAAUUUGUGUCUCGAACGAUUCAAUAAUAAAUAAUAAUUAAACAUAUUUUUCGUGGUUAGAAAUAUCAAUGUGAGGGAAUUUGUUUGAGAGAGAGUGAGAAAGGGUUGUGAAGGAAUUGAGAGGCGCAUGACGUUGACGUGAGGUCAUGAGAGCCUUUGUUUGUUGUCUCUCCCUGGCUUGGUCUUGAAAAAACUGGAAGGGGAGCCCACAAAGGAUUUUGGAGUUUUAUGGUUUUUGGUGUGGCGUACGUGUAAUGUCAGCAGUCACCAUCUGAAAUGUUCUGUCUUCACACGCCACCACACACGGCUAAUCCCCUACGCCUUCCAUCGGCAGCCGUGGGAUUCGCCGACAGCAACGUCCCGAAGAAUCGAACGGCUUGGAAGGCGAAAAGAAAAGAGGCUAAGCAAUAAUGCAGGUGAGGUCUCCCCCAAAAUAGAAACGCGAUGAGAGAGGGACAGGAAUAGGCAGAAAGCGACAGGGAGAAAGGUCGUAGGUGUUACAUGUGUGUGUGUAUAUGAUAUCCAUGUCAUGUCAUGGUAUGGCAUGGCAUGUCAUUGCCUUUAAAGAUAAAGAUAAAAGGCAGUUGCGGACACACCCAACCCUCUUCGCCAUUGGUUCCUUUCUUGACCUUCCCUCCACUGUGGGACCCUCCUAAACCACAAAGAAAACUAGGACCGAAUCUUCCUUAAAGCGAUUAGGAGAGGGUAGAUAGAUAGAUAGAUAGAGAUAAGCCUUGUGGGGUUGACGCGUGUACAGUGUAUCUCAACCUCCCUGGACCACCUCUAUUCAUUCUUUCCCUUUUUAUUUCUUAAUUACACUUUUAAUACCUUAAUUAAUUAUCCAUCAUUCCGAUUAAUUGCAAAUCAAUCCACCCUAACUAAACUUUUCUUUUAUUAAUUACUUUUUCUCCUCUUAUUGGCUAACAAAUUCUUUUGCAUUCUUUCUCUCGUUGACUUCCCCCGUUAAUUUGAAAGCUGAAGUUGCUGGAAUAACUUUUCGACCAAAUCAGAUUUCUUAAUGGGUAUAAAAGUGGGUGCGCAAACUUUAACCAGCAUUUCCUAGAUACCAUACCCUUCACGUGACACUAAUUUCUUCCACUCUAAACUUAAGUUUAAUAAAUUUAUAUUCUACAAAUUAGGC